CCUACGGGGGGCUGCAGUGGGGAAUAUUGGACAAAUGGGGGCAACCCUGAUCCAGCCAUGCCGCGUGUGUGAAGAAGGCCCUCGGGUUGUAAAGCACUUUCAGUGAGGAAGAACGCCUGGUGGUUAAUACCCAUCAGGAAAGACAUCACUCACAGAAGAAGCACCGGCUAACUCCGUGCCAGCAGCCGCGGUAAUACGGAGGGUGCGAGCGUUAAUCGGAAUUACUGGGCGUAAAGCGCGCGUAGGUGGCUUGAUAAGCCGGUUGUGAAAGCCCCGGGCUCAACCUGGGAACGGCAUCCGGAACUGUCAAGCUAGAGUGCAGGAGAGGAAGGUAGAAUUCCCGGUGUAGCGGUGAAAUGCGUAGAGAUCGGGAGGAAUACCAGUGGCGAAGGCGGCCUUCUGGACUGACACUGACACUGAGGUGCGAAAGCGUGGGUAGCAAACAGGAUUAGAUACCCCUGUAGUC
rnacentral:rRNA from 1 species